rnacentral:lncRNA from 1 species
GCUACAGGGCUCAGUUCCAAAAUAAUUUACUUAUGCUGAUAUGAAAAAUCACAACAAAGUGGAAACUUACCUUUCAACUAAUAUAAUAACUUUAUUUCUAAUACUGAGCCUUUACAUAGGAAUUUACAGAAAUGAAAAACAACAAACCACUGUGCUUAUUCCACAUUUUCUCCACCCAAACUCUCUCUCCAUCAUUCUCUGUGCCCACCUGGGCUCAACAGCAAAGGUAUCUAAGUUGAGUUCUUCAAAGGAAGGUACUAACAAUUUGGUGCCACAAUUCUGGUAGUGACAAUACAUCCUCCAUGACAGGAGCUCUCAAAUGGACUCCAACCUUGUUCCCUGAAGACUCAGAAUAGGAAUGGCUUCAUGCAGGUGAUGGUUUCUAAGUGUAUGUUUUAACAUCGCUUGUUCCAUAUUAUUGUAAAAAAUCUACCACUAAAAUGUUUUUAGAUAGAAAAUUCUGUUUUCCAUCAG